GCGGCCAACUUUUGUAAAGGUGUCAGUUUUUACUGGUUAAACGGGAAAUAGGAGUGUUUUUCAAACAAAGCCUAUACUGCCCCCGCAACGGUAUGUAAGUGAUGCGUUUUUAGGCUUUAUUCCACUGUUUUUUAAUGGGAAGGAAUGAAGUGAUUGAUAACGUAUGCCAACACUUAUGAGUCCGGAGACCGGCCUUUAUUUAUCAGGACUU
rnacentral:ncRNA from 2 species